UGAGCUGAAAGAAUAUAUAUUUUUACAUUACUAAUCACAAUUAAUCCACAUUAACAAAGAAAACACUUCUUUGGGAAACUUAAAUUCAGUGAAAUUUUGCCUUUACAUAAUUCUGAAAUGAUGGCCCCCAGUUUUUAAUCUGUCGCAUUUGCCAUGUGAUAUGCCAUGCAUUUAUGUAAAAUACUGAAGUAAUUUAUAGUAAUUAAUUCUACUGCAAAAGCCUCAUCAGAAACUAGACGAGCAAUUCUGAUUACCCUAUUGUGAGGUUCUAAACUGUCUACAGUGAUGAAUAUCCCCUACCCGAAACAUGCCUGUUAUUUUUUAUAGGUGGGAGGAGUGUUGACAUGAUACCAUUUUACUCUUGAUUUCAUGAUCUGAUAAUAGCAUCAUUGUUCUUUAUCCUUAGAGAUAAAACAGCAUCCAGGUAAAGCUCAAUAGAAUUUAAGGCAUUCACUUCUUUAGACGGAAAAUAAUAAAAACAUUUUUAUUCAGUUAGCUGCCAGGUCUAAAUGUAUAAGGAAAGAUCAGAUUCUGUUUCUGUGAUAUAUUUCAAGAAAAGAGUGAACAGAUACUGUAGAAAAUCAGUAAAUUUUGUUGAUAGUAUAAAAAUGAGAAAGUAAAUGCCUUCAGAUAAUUAUAAUUAAAUGACAGGAAUAAAUACAAUAAUAUAAUUUGACAAAAUGACUGAAUACUAGUUCUAAUAAUUUGUAAUCAUCCUAUUGUAUUAAACAGUUGCAAGGAUGAGCUCCUGCUGCUUAAGAGGCAUAAACAGCUAAUACGCAUUAUUAGAAGUCACUGGAGAUAUUACACCUGCCUGGCACUUCUCCCACUUUUAUGUCUGUAUAGCUCCAUUUUUUUAGUUUCAUAUAUUAUUUUGCCUUUGCUGUAUAAAAUAAUCACAGCACAGCAAACUGUACAAAACAUUGCUAGAUAUUGUACUGAAAACACCCACACACUAUCCCAUCACUUUUAAUCAUACUAAUUUUAGAUGUAAUUUUUAGAUAGGAGGAAAACCAGACUCCUGUACUGAGAUAAGCACGUAUCUUUUUAAAUAUGGAAUUAAAGCUGUGAAAAAGACCCAAUUUCACUUUGCUAAUACACAAUAGACGGCAAGGAAGACUAGAAAAAAAAUUCUAUGAACAUUCAUUUUUGUAUAAGACUCUGCUUCCUUUUAACCCUUUCUUUCUUUCUUUGUAUCUCCCUUGUGUGCUUUUCAGGUGAAAAGAGAUUUACAUUGGGAGGAGAUGCAGUACUCAGAGCGCACUUUAAGAUGAAGGUCAGAAAGCUUCCUAAAUAAAAAGGAUUGUAAUAUUUUCACCAGUCAAUAAGCAAGGACAGUUCUAGUUAAAUGGUUUAUAUUGGUGCAACAAAUUAGCAGUCAGGAAAUGUUUUGAUUAACCUUUCUCAUCAACUUUUGGGCCAGUUUGGGGUCUGCUGUGUUUACCUAACUUGGUUUUGAUAAUUCAAAGUAUUUCAGGGCAAAACUUAGUUGCUAAAACAAAGAUCCAGUGUUAUACACUGGAUAUAUUUCCUGAGGACGAGAAUUCGGAAUCUUUUUCUCCUUGAAACGUCCACGCAGAAGGCAAGCCUGGUCUCCAUGGCGGAGUCCAGCAGUGCUGGGCCGAGAGGAGUGCCCUAAGGAGGGGCGGAUAUAACUCCUGGGCAGUGACAGUUUUGUUCUGGUGUUUACCUAAAAUACUCAUUUCUCCUCCUUACAAGGGGGAAACAGGAAAGAGGGAGAUGUUGUAAAUGCAGUAAGAAAACACUGUGGCAUUUGAGACAAGAGAGAGACCCUACAGCACUCUAGGAAGACAAAACAUAAAAAAUAACCCCAGAUUAAUUAGAUCGAAACAUAAUAAUGUAAUUAAUCUUAUGACAGGUACAAUUUUUCUUCUAUGAACUGCAAAGACCUCACUUUUACGUCUAACAGCACAAGUAAGCGUAUCGGGGGAAAUUCUUUGCACAGUACUAUGGUAUGGUCUAAUACUACAUAAAACCCGAGAAGAUUCAAAAUUUUUUUAGCAAAAUUUUUUUAGCAGCACUGCAAACUUUCAUUCUCAGAUCAAAGUUCUGCAGCUGCAGAAGUGCUUGCGAUGUGCCUGUGCAUGAUUAGGGCCUGGUGGGGGUCUUUAUGUCGUUCGGAGCCUAUAAGGGGCUAGGGAGAAACACAGUUUGGAUUAAUCCAAAAUGAAAUGCCUGUAAAUAAUCUUACCAUUAUUUCUGUGUAUUCUGUUAGCUUUGAGUCUUCAAUCUGCUUAUUUGCUUUCUGUAAUAAAUCUUUCAAGAAGCUCUGUUAAAAUAAAUAGAUGAGUAACAGGUGAA